rnacentral:rRNA from 1 species
UACGUAGGGUGCGAGCGUUAAUCGGAAUUACUGGGCGUAAAGCGUGCGUAGGCGGUUCGUUAAGUUCGUUGUGAAGGCCCCGGGCUCAACCUGGGAAUGGCAAUGGAAACUGGCGGGCUUGAGUAUGGCAGAGGGGGGUGGAAUUCCGCGUGUAGCAGUGAAAUGCGUAGAGAUGCGGAGGAACACCGAUGGCGAAGGCAGCCCCCUGGGCCAAUACUGACGCUCAGGCACGAAAGCGUGGGGAGCAAGCAGG